GAUGAACGCUAGCGACAGGCCUAACACAUGCAAGUCGAACGGCAGCACGGGAGCAAUCCUGGUGGCGAGUGGCGAACGGGUGAGUAAAGUAUCGGAACGUGCCCAGUCGUGGGGGAUAACGGAGCGAAAGUUACGCUAAUACCGCAUACGAUCUAUGGAUGAAAGCGGGGGAUCGCAAGACCUCGCGCGAUUGGAGCGGCCAAUGUCAGAUUAGGUAGUUGGUGGGGUAAAGGCUCACCAAGCCGACGAUCUGUAGCUGGUCUGAGAGGACGACCAGCCACACUGGGACUGAGACACGGCCCAGACUCCUACGGGAGGCAGCAGUGGGGAAUUUUGGACAAUGGGCGCAAGCCUGAUCCAGCAAUGCCGCGUGCAGGAAGAAGGCCUUCGGGUUGUAAACUGCUUUUGUACGGAACGAAAAGGCUCUGGUUAAUACCUGGGGCUCAUGACGGUACCGUAAGAAUAAGCACCGGCUAACUACGUGCCAGCAGCCGCCGCAG
rnacentral:rRNA from 1 species